AGCGAACGCUGGCGGCAGGCUUAACACAUGCAAGUCGAACGGGCUUCUUCGGAAGUCAGUGGCAGACGGGUGCGUAACACGUGGGAACGUGCCCUUCGGUUCGGAAUAACUCAGGGAAACUUGAGCUAAUACCGGAUACGCCCUUUUGGGGAAAGGUUUACUGCCGAAGGAUCGGCCCGCGUCUGAUUAGCUUGUUGGUGGGGUAACGGCCUACCAAGGCGACGAUCAGUAGCUGGUCUGAGAGGAUGAUCAGCCACACUGGGACUGAGACACGGCCCAGACUCCUACGGGAGGCAGCAGUGGGGAAUAUUGGACAAUGGGCGCAAGCCUGAUCCAGCCAGGCCGCGUGAGUGAUGAAGGCCUUAGGGUUGUAAAGCUCUUUUGUCCGGGACGAUAAUGACGGUACCGGAAGAAUAAGCCCCGGCUAACUUCGUG
rnacentral:rRNA from 1 species